rnacentral:rRNA from 1 species
AUUGAACGCUGGCGGCAGGCCUAACACAUGCAAGUCGAACGAGUGGCGGACGGGUGAGUAAUGUCUGGGAAACUGCCUGAUGGGGGGGGAUAACUACUGGAAACGGUAGCUAAUACCGCAUACCAUCCGAUGUGCCCAGCGGGGAUUAGCUUGUUGGUGGGGUAACGGCUCACAAAGGCGACGAUCCCGAGCUGGUCUGAGAGGAUGACCGGCCACACUGGGAAUGAGACACGGACCAGACUCCUACGGGAGGCAGCAGUGGGGAAUAUUGGGCAAUGGGCGAAAGUCUGAUGGAGCAAGGCAGAGUGAGUGAAGAAGGAUUUCGGAUUGUAAAGCACUUUCAGUGGGGAAGCGGUACCUGACGAGAAAGCAACGGCUAACUACGUGCCAGCAGCCGCGGUAAUAC